rnacentral:lncRNA from 1 species
ACCUUGGUUCCAACCCAAAAUUCCCAUAAUUUUUGUUUUUUCUGUUUUGGGUCACAUUUUACAUGCCUGCUCAAGAACCACCCAUGGGUUUGAGCAAUGGAGGAUCUGAGAUUUACAUCCUGAACAGCAGACCCCGUGGUGGAAAGCAGAGUGGUGGAAGAAGAGCAAGACACAAAUAUCAAGUCCUUUCCCCAUGA